rnacentral:lncRNA from 1 species
CCUAAUUCAUGCCCAAUACAUUGACUUAUAAAUCUUGAUCAAAUAACAUUCAUCUAUUCAUUUCAAAUACUUCUUAAAAGUUACAAAUUACUUACACCCAAAACAUAAAUAUAUUAAAGUGACUAAAAUAAAACCUAAUACAUGCCACAUUUCCAAAAGAUAGAUUCAUCACCAGAAACUAAGCUGAGGUCGGGAUUGACUCGGAUGCAGCACCAAACUUCAACUUUACCUAGCCUACGCACGGAAACAAAUCGUACGCUGAGUAUUGGAAAUACUCAGUGGUAUUACCAUAAUUCAAAUUAAAGCAAAUAUAAAAUAUCAUAAACAUGCAUAGAUAAUUAACAAAUCAUACAUAUAAUUCAUACCAAGUUAUCAUAUUUCCAUUGUAUCAUUUUCAUUAUUUGAUUCAAUAAUUCAUCAAUAAGAUUACCAACUAUUCAUGAACCUUUGGUUCAUCUCUCAAUCACAUAUAAAUAUCCAAUUCACAUUCAUAUAUGAAUAAUUCAUGAAUCUUGGUUUUAUGCCUUCAAUCUCAUAGCACAAAUUGCAUUUCUCAAUUCAUCUUACAAUAUCACUUUCUCAUUUCAUUCAAUAAUUCAAUUUAUCAAUUUCAUUUGAUUUUUUUCUCUUCACAUAUAUUUCCCCUAUUAACAUCACUCGGACUUUGGAGGAUACACGGAUUCAACCAAACACACCAGAGUGGCGGUCAACACCUCAUCAGAUAGUUCGAAGCAAAUAAGUGACGACCAACGUCUCAUCGGCUAAGCCGAAGCAAAGUGGUGACCAACGCCUCAUCGAAUCUAUCCGAAGUAAAUAUGACACACCAAGUGUCUCAUCGACUCGAGGUCGAAGAAUCCCUGAAUUCUUCCUAUCCUAUGGCAUGCCAACUAUAUCCACCCUAGCCCGACUAGUUAAUAGGGUAUCGGAAUCAUUCGAAUUCAAAUCAAUCACAAUAACAAUUCAAUCACAAUUUCAAAUUCACCACAAAUCAUUAUACAAUUCAAUUUCACACAUGUAUACAUUCAUCAAUCAAAUCCAAUUCUCAUUCAAUUCAAACAUCACUACUUACCUCAAUUUCAUUUUUCGUGCACAUAUAUUGAAAUUAAACAUUUAAUAAUAAAUAACUUGAAUUAAGGUAAUACAAACCGAUAUUUUCUCAAGCUACUCCUCGAUCACUUUUUUCUUUCCCUUCGCAUUCAACGUCUCGGUUUCUAUGUUUGCUACGAAAAUUAGCAUAAUUAUAAUUAAUUAAUAACACACAUAUUUUAUAAAAAAAUAAUAACUUUCCAUGCAACUUUAACGUAAAUCCCAAAUUUGUCCUAACUAUUUUCAUCUUCUUCCCUUUUUAUAAUUCAUAUUAUUUCCUUAUUCAAUUUCCAUCAAAACUUUAAUAUAACCAUCAAAUUUUUAUCAUUUUUCCAUAAUUUUGAAUUUCUAUCAAUUUAGUCCCUACAACACAAAACUUAUGACCUUGUUUACAUUUCAAUCAUUUAAUCAAUUUAAAUCAAAAUUUCUAUCAAUUAAACUCCUAAUUUCAUCAUUAGUUCAACAUAAACCCUACUUAAGAGUCUAUCAUCUUUCAAUAUUUUCACACAAAUUCAAAAGUAUUCAACUUUAGAACUUCAAAAACAUCAAAAUCACUAAGAAAGGGACUUAACUGACUUAACCAAUUUAACUUUCAAACUUCAAACCCUAAUUUCUCCUUUUUCUUUUCUUUUCUUUUCUUCUUUCUUUCUUUCUAUUUCGUUUCUUCUCUGUUUCUUUUUCUUGUUUUUCUUUCUUUUAUUUAUUCUUUAUUUCAUUUUAUUUCUUUCAUUUACCAAAUUAAUAAUUAAUUAUAAAAUAUCUAAUUAAUACAAAUAAAAAAUACUACAUGUGUAUUCAUACACACAUGUGCACAUGUAAUAUUUCUUCACCAUACAUUUGUCAUUAUCUCAAUUAAUUGAUAAAAUAUAAUAAUAAUAAUAAAAUAAUAAUAAUAAGUAAAUAUCUUUUACUUAAUUUAUAAGUAAAUUUAUAUAUUAUAUACAUUUGUACUAAUAAUUUAAAUACACAUGUAUUUAUUUUCUAACUUACACAUGUCACUAAUUUAGUUUAAUUACUAAUUUAAUCCUUUAUCCUUUCUCUAUUCUAUUAUUAAGCUUUUAUGCUCUAUUCAAAUUUAUCAUUUCUACUAAUUACUUCUAAUUAAAAAUAAAUUCACCUAAUUAAAAUUUAAUUCAACUCACAACUAACUUCGUAAAUUUUUUUUAUAAAUAUUUACGAACUCAUUUUCCUAAGACGGAAGCCCUAAACUCACUUUUCUGGUGCCCGUGAAAUAUGGGUCGUUACAUUAUCAUUGUCUCCAAUUGAAAAAAAAUUCAAAUCAAUUACAUUUCAUAAAUAUAUUUGUAAAAUUCAUUCUCAUUAAUGUUGAAAGGUUCAGGUUUAGUAAUAAUUUAUCAAUUGAUAUAUAAAAAGAUUACGACUCAUUAGGAUAAUAACUGUUUGAUUGCCUUUCAGCUCGAUAUCAUUGUCAUAUUAAACUUUAAUAUUGACUUCAAAUUUAAUUUGGGCUUCAAUUUCAACUUUAGUGAAAUUAAUGGUGAUGCUAUGGUGCUAAGAUCACCUCAAAUGAAAACAGUUUGGUUUAUCUUUUAAUUGCAUUUAUCGGAGAUUGUCUACUUCUAUAAGAUACACACAUUGCGAAAUGAUAAGCUCUAAUCGGUCAACUUCUCCCAACUAUGAUAUAGCCAUUUUUUUUUAUGCAACUCAUGAAUACUAUGCAUAGUAGACUUCUGGUAUUAAACUUGAAAAACGUACUGAUUGAGAGAAUUUUCAGAUGAUAUGUUGACACUGAGAUAGUCGAUGCAUUUGCAAAAUUCUAUAUUCCAUAACCGCUAUUAGGAAUAUCUUUGAGUUGCAUUAUAAUAUUCCCAAUUUCUUAUGGUCCAAACAUAAUCAUCUCAACAUCUUCAGUGUCAUUGAGAUUCAAUGCAUAAUACUUACAUCUUUUUUACUAGACUUCGAAAUUCUAUAUUUCAAGUUACAUAUCCACUUAGUACCUCCAACUUGGAUUUUCUUAAGAAUCUUCCUUUUCAUAUUUUCUAAUGUAACAUCAUUCAUUAACAUCAUGUUACAAAGAAUUUCUAAUUGAAAUAUGGCUCAUCCUAAGUCGAAAUAAUAUAUCCUUUCAAGGGUUAUAUAUCAAUCCGCUAUUUUUUUAAUUAAGACAGUCAAAUAUUAAAUUUAUAAUAUUAUAAAUAAUGCUAACAAUUUCAACAAUUCUUAAUAACAACAUUAACACUACUUUACUACAAUAGCAAGCAAAAACAAUACAAUAACUUCCUUAUAACAUAUGUUUAACAUAUUCAACUGUUGGUUACAAUAAUAACAACAUAACAUUGGCUGAAUAAACACUUACAAAUUUAAUAUCUACAAUUGGUAAAUACAAUAAUAACUUCACAUUAGAUAAAAUACUUAUGACAACUUUUAUAACACUAAUAACAAAAAAAUGUCGAAAAAAUGUACAUGAUAAAUGACUUUUAGUAAAAUUUGAAAUUAAUCAUGAUGAUUUAGGUUUGUAGAUUUUAAGAGUAUUUUUGUUUUUUGAGUUUUGCAAAAUUAAUUUUUGGAGAGAAAGUAAACAGUCAAGUUUAAAUAGUAUGACCUUUGACAACACUUGUAAGUAUUGAUGUUAAUGUUUAAAAAAAAAAAAAAGUCUAAUCUCGACAUAUGAGUGACAAGGUCACACUACAUCAAACCAAAUUUUGAACAACUAAGUAUAAGAUUUUUGAGAGAAUCUUGGAAAAUAUUCACACUAAGUUUAAUAUCCGAGGGUGUUAAACGUCAGAGUAUGAUCAUUUCAUCAUCACUUCACGAACAAGUUAUCGUAAAACAGUUUGUGCAAUAACUCUUGAAAACAAUAAAAUAACUCGACAAUUUGAUAAAAAAUGGUAGAAUAAAUUGUUGGUUACUCAACUUUAGAGGUGAUCAUGGGCCGGGCCGGGUUUGGGCCGAGCCCAGGAAAAAAUUCAAGCCCAAAAUAUGGGCCUAAAUUUUUGUCCAAGCCCGACCCCACGGAAAAGUGUGAAGCCCGGGCCCUGCCCGGCCUGCCCAUAUUAAUUUUUUUUUAGCUUAAGACCAUGAAAUAAUGACAAAAAAAUAAUAAAGGGAAAAAUAAAAACAAAGCUUGAUUUAAAAUAAAUAAUCCUACAAAUAAUUGUUUUAUUUUUAUUUUAAAUUUGAAUUUAAAAUAAAUGUUUCAAACGAAGACAAUUUAAUUUAAAGUUUUUUAUUUAAAUAUAAAUUAAAGUUUACUAACUUAUUUAGUUCCAAAUUAAAAUUUUAUGUUCUGGAAUUUUAUUUAAAAGAAUUUUGAAUGUAUAUUUAAAAAUUAAAAUACUAUUGAAAUAAAUUAUAAAGCUUAAAAAAUUGUAAACACAGAAACAGAACAGAAGCAUGCAUGAUGUACCGACAGGAGUCAAUUAGUCCACAAUCCACAAGCAUUAUUAUUAAAAUAAUAAGUAUCAUUACAUUGGUUUUGAGUUUGACCAGUUAUUGAUUAUUGUAAUCCGACAAGAGUCAAUUAGUCCACAAUCCAUAUGCAUUAUUAUUAAAAUAAUAAGUAUCAUUACAUUGGUUUUGAGUUUGAAUUGUUUAUAAACUCAAUGAAACCUAGUAAAGCACUCGUGUGUAUAAAGCUGUCUGUAUAUUAAAAGCUCAUGGCUUCGAACUCAGACAAUGGGAACUAAAGUAUAUAUGCAUUUGUACAUAGUAAUGAAAUAAUAAACUUGCAAGAAGAAGAUGCAGCAAUGAAUAAGAAGAAGAAGAAUAAGAAGAAGAAGCUUACUGUAAAGAAGAGGCUACCGAGACUGCAAAUGAAUAAGCAAAAAUGAAGAAGCUGAGCUAAGCUUGAGGCUAGCUGGAGGUGGCCGACAGACAACUGGGAUUUGGGUGGAUCAGUGGAGGUGGAUCGGUGGAGGUGGUGGUGAGGUGAGCUAGGGAUUUGGGUUUUGGAAAUGGGAAAAAGGGAAAAAGGGCAGGAAGGCAGCAGCACGAAAUGAUAAAAUGAAAGUGGGAAAAAAAAG